rnacentral:rRNA from 1 species
CGUGCUAUACAUGCAAGUCGAACGAACUCUGGUAUUGAUUGGUGCUUGCAUCAUGAUUUACAUUUGAGUGAGUGGCGAACUGGUGAGUAACACGUGGGAAACCUGCCCAGAAGCGGGGGAUAACACCUGGAAACAGAUGCUAAUACCGCAUAACAACUUGGACCGCAUGGUCCGAGCUUGAAAGAUGGCUUCGGCUAUCACUUUUGGAUGGUCCCGCGGCGUAUUAGCUAGAUGGUGGGGUAACGGCUCACCAUGGCAAUGAUACGUAGCCGACCUGAGAGGGUAAUCGGCCACAUUGGGACUGAGACACGGCCCAAACUCCUACGGGAGGCAGCAGUAGGGAAUCUUCCACAAUGGACGAAAGUCUGAUGGAGCAACGCCGCGUGAGUGAAGAAGGGUUUCGGCUCGUAAAACUCUGUUGUUAAAGAAGAACAUAUCUGAGAGUAACUGUUCAGGUAUUGACGGUAUUUAACCAGAAAGCCACGGCUAACUACGUGCCAGCAGCCGCGGUAAUACGUAGGUGGCAAGCGUUGUCCGGAUUUAUUGGGCGUAAAGCGAGCGCAGGCGGUUUUUUAAGUCUGAUGUGAAAGCCUUCGGCUCAACCGAAGAAGUGCAUCGGAAACUGGGAAACUUGAGUGCAGAAGAGGACAGUGGAACUCCAUGUGUAGCGGUGAAAUGCGUAGAUAUAUGGAAGAACACCAGUGGCGAAGGCGGCUGUCUGGUCUGUAACUGACGCUGAGGCUCGAAAGUAUGGGUAGCAAACAGGAUUAGAUACCCUGGUAGUCCAUACCGUAAACGAUGAAUGCUAAGUGUUGGAGGGUUUCCGCCCUUCAGUGCUGCAGCUAACGCAUUAAGCAUUCCGCCUGGGGAGUACGGCCGCAAGGCUGAAACUCAAAGGAAUUGACGGGGGCCCGCACAAGCGGUGGAGCAUGUGGUUUAAUUCGAAGCUACGCGAAGAACCUUACCAGGUCUUGACAUACUAUGCAAAUCUAAGAGAUUAGACGUUCCCUUCGGGGACAUGGAUACAGGUGGUGCAUGGUUGUCGUCAGCUCGUGUCGUGAGAUGUUGGGUUAAGUCCCGCAACGAGCGCAACCCUUAUUAUCAGUUGCCAGCAUUAAGUUGGGCACUCUGGUGAGACUGCCGGUGACAAACCGGAGGAAGGUGGGGAUGACGUCAAAUCAUCAUGCCCCUUAUGACCUGGGCUACACACGUGCUACAAUGGAUGGUACAACGAGUUGCGAACUCGCGAGAGUAAGCUAAUCUCUUAAAGCCAUUCUCAGUUCGGAUUGUAGGCUGCAACUCGCCUACAUGAAGUCGGAAUCGCUAGUAAUCGCGGAUCAGCAUGCCGCGGUGAAUACGUUCCCGGGCCUUGUACACACCGCCCGUCACACCAUGAGAGUUUGUAACACCCAAAGUCGGUGGGGUAACCUUUUAGGAACCAGCCGCCUAAG